AUGGUUACAGAUAUCACUGUCAGUCAGUUACGCUCUCUGUCUAUAAAUAAGGAUCCCCAGAUACGUUCUUUUCUAAGCUCAAAAACUAUAUCUCGAAACUCUGCCAAAAUUUUCACUCGAGUACUCCAUUUCUGUUGAGGCAGAGUACUGACUUGAGCGUCAGAGGAUCUUGCCGGAGCACCCCCAACUCCGGUUUAGACUUCCCUUGC
rnacentral:lncRNA from 1 species